AACGAACGCUGGCGGCAGGCUUAACACAUGCUAGUCGAGCGCCCCGCAAGGGGAGCGGCAGACGGGUGAGUAACGCGUGGGAAUCUACCCAUCUCUACGGAAUAACGCAUGGAAACGUGUGCUAAUGCCGUAGACGUCCUUCGGGAGAAAGAUUUAUCGGAGAUGGAUGAGCCCGCGUUGGAUUAGCUAGUUGGUGGGGUAAAGGCCUACCAAGGCGACGAUCCAUAGCUGGUCUGAGAGGAUGAUCAGCCACACUGGGACUGAAACACGGCCCAGACUCCUACGGGAGGCAGCAGUGGGGAAUAUUGGACAAUGGGCGCAAGCCUGAUCCAGCCAUGCCGCGUGAGUGAUGAAGGCCCUAGGGUUGUAAAGCUCUUUCACCGGUGAAGAUAAUGACGGUAACCGGAGAAGAAGCCCCGGCUAACUUCGUGCCAGCCGCCGCGGUAAUAC
rnacentral:rRNA from 1 species